rnacentral:miRNA from 1 species
AUUCCUUCCGUCGAUGAGGUAUAACACCCUCAUUGACGGAAGGGAUUCCUUCCGUCGAUGAGGUAAAGCACCCUCAUCGACGGAAUACCUCAUCGACCGGAAGGAAUCCCUUCCGGCCGAUGAGGGUGUUUUACCUCAUCGACGGAAGGAAU